rnacentral:rRNA from 1 species
UACGGGGGGGGCAAGCGUUGUUCGGAAUUACUGGGCGUAAAGGGCGCGUAGGCGGCCUUCUAAGUCGGACGUGAAAUCCCACGGCUUAACCGUGGAACUGCUUGGUAUACUGGUUGUCUUGGGCCAUCUAGGGGCUACUGGAACAAACGGUGGAGCGGUGAAAUGCGUAGAUAUCGUUUGGAACGCCAAUGGUGAAAACAAGUAGCUGGGGAUGUGCCGACGCUGAGACACGAAAGCCAGGGGAGCGAACGGG